UCUUAUUGUAUUCCACACCGUGUUAAAAAAUAUUUGCAUUGAAUAAAACUGUUUCUAUGUCGGAAAUGUAUCAACAUAUAUGUAAAGAAUUCAAUGUGUGCAGGAAAUUCAAUAGUUUCAAUUCUGCAACCUAAAUACAUAUUCACAUUUAAGGAAUAAAAUACCCAAAUUUGGAAAAGGAAAGUAAUGAAGAACUCAAAAACAUCAAAAGGGAAAAGUUCCCCAAAGUCAUUUAAAUACGUUCUUGACAAGGAUUGGAUUUUGACCAAAGUAUCGCACGUGAAUCAAGCAAUGAGUGAUUUUCAAGCAGUGGUGCACGACGAGCAUGUCAAGGCAUGUCACUUUCUCCGCAUUUUACGACUAGGACAUGGAAUCGUAGAUAAAAAAUGUGUUGGAAAGUUAAUUUUGACUCACACCGUAUCCGGAAAUUACUUGGAACGCUUGAGCAAGAAAUAUGGAGAAGAAUACUAUUUAAUUCGAGAAGAUGACAUUUUAGCCUUUGUUGAUUUGUAAGAUCUAUGUCACUGUCUGCAAACCCCUGUCACGAUAAUUAUAAACCAAAAUAAGGCUUGAUACAAAAAUACAAUUGAAUAAUAAUUUACACUUCAUACGCUA